UCUCCAGUGGCGCAGUUGGUUAGCGCAUGGUACUUAUAAGACAGUAGCUUAAUGUGCUCAUGGAAACAGCCAGUGAAUCAGAGUAAUGCCGAGGUCGCGAGUUCGAGCCUCGCCUGGAGAA
rfam:Daphnia magna strain Xinb3 scaffold03133, whole genome shotgun sequence.